AAGUCGUAACAAGGUCUCCGUUGGUGAACCAGCGGAGGGAUCAUUAUAGAGUUUUCUAAACUCCCAAACCCAUGUGAACUUACCAUUGUUGCCUCGGCAGAGCCUACCCGGUACCUACCCUGGAACUAGCUACCCUGUAGCCACCCAGGAACGGGCUACCCUGUAACGUCCUGCCGGUGGACUUCUAAACUCUUGUUAUUUAUAGUAAUCUGAGCGUCUUAUUUUAAUAAGUCAAAACUUUCAACAACGGAUCUCUUGGUUCUG
rnacentral:misc_RNA from 1 species